UUCCAGAACUCCAACAAUGCUUUUCUGAGAAAGGCAAAGGAAAACUUGUAAAACUUCCAUGAGACCACAAUCACAUAGAGAAACAACUAAAAAAUAUUACAUACCCAGCAAGAUUUAAAUGAGAUGUCAUCAAUCGUAACUGACAGUACUGACCUUUAUCUGAGCCUUGUGAUCCUGGAAAACAGCAAUGGGUAGAGGAAUACCCCUGCGCCUUUGUACUCCAAGAACAAUUUGCUGCAAGGAACCGCAUUUUCCCCUAUGACGAGAAAGCGCAGUCAGGAUGCCCGAGCCCGCCAAGUCGGCCCCGGCGCCGAAGAAGGGGUCCAAGAAGGCGGUGACCAAGGCGCAGAAGAAGGACGGCAAGAAGCGCAAGCGCAGCCGCAAGGAGAGCUACUCGGUGUACGUGUACAAGGUGCUGAAGCAGGUGCACCCCGACACGGGCAUCUCGUCCAAGGCCAUGGGCAUCAUGAACUCGUUCGUCAACGACAUCUUCGAGCGCAUCGCGGGCGAGGCGUCCCGCCUGGCGCAUUACAACAAGCGCUCGACCAUCACGUCGCGGGAGAUCCAGACGGCCGUGCGCCUGCUGCUGCCCGGGGAGCUGGCCAAGCACGCCGUGUCCGAGGGCACCAAGGCCGUCACCAAGUACACCAGCUCCAAGUGAGCCCGCCUGCAGCCGACCGCAACCCAAAGGCUCUUUUCAGAGCCACAUAGUUUCACCAGCAGAGCUGCGCACUGCCGCGCGCUGCGGCCUGGGCUUGGCGUUCACUCAGCUGCCCUGAAAAGGCGAUCGUCACUACACUUGGUUGUUAGUGAAGAAUGCAUUCGUCUCCCCCUCUCCCGUCUGACUCGCAGAUGACCCGCCACAGUCUCCUCCCUAGUGCAGCCCCGGAAUAAGAAGGCCGGCUCCGCAGCCCCCAGUCCGCCCUUUCAUGUCACUUGCGGGUCUCCUUCCAAGCCGUUCACCUGUCCUGUCUCCAGCUCUGGCCCCCCAGCUCCGUUGAGCAGCUGUGUGUGGGGAGGUCCCACAGAAAAAGACAGGGACCCAGGGUGGGUCAGAGGGUGGAGAGCAGGAAAUGUGCACUCAGCACGUGAGUGUUAACAUUCUGAUGCUGGACGCCAAGGUCUGAAAGGCUCUGGUUUGUGAUCACACGAUGCUAAAGAGCCUAAACCCUGAAACUUAAAAGCAAGAUUUGUCUCCUUCCCUCAUUUCUCCAGGCACUGUGACAAAGGGGCUUCUUUCUGGAACUUAAGUGAGAAAGAUUGGGUUGCCGGCACCUCACCUGUAAAUGGAAAUCCAAAUGCACCCUAGAAUAGCUAACUCUGUCCUCCAGAAACUCAGAGCCAGCCUUCCAGCCAGUCUGUCUAGUCUCCCUCUAUUCUCUCAAAAAGGCAAAAUAAUCACCAAGAAACAAUCUGUUUUCAGGCUGCCAAAUUACAGCUGCACUUCAACUCUUUCUGAUCAUCUUGAUUUCAGUUUGAGAUGGUAGUAAAACUCCUCUGUCCAUAGUGAAUCUACUUUUCAUUCCACAGGGAGAGCAGUUGUGUCAGAAAGCAUACCUGAUCAUGCAUGAUUCUUCUCAGUGCCUCCCAGUGAUCCCCCUACUGCACAAAAUCAGAAAUCAAGGGCUGUAGCCUACCCCUUACAGAAAACUCACACCAAACCUCAGAGAAUUCUUUUCCUCCUGUUCUUUGUUUCUCCUAUGCUUGUUUCAUUUUUUGCUUUUUCACACUUUUUGGAAUUCUCCGAGACCUCUCCAGCCUCCAGGCCUUUGCAAAUAUUCUCUUCCUGAAGUGCCCCUGAUUCCGCCCUUAUCCCCAACACACACGCACACACACAGUUUUCUUAAAUCAACAACUCACUUUUCAGCUCAAUCAAAACGUUAUUGGGGAAGCUGAUCUGCACUGUUAAAGACUCUCAGAGCCACAAAGAACUGGCUGUAUUCCCAGCCCCAAACUAAUCAUUACUAAGAGGCUGGGACCCUCAGGACUAGUGUGGUAGAAUCAGGACCUGAUCCCUGAGACUAGAAGGAAAGUCUCCUUCCCUGGAGCACAAGGCAAUGAGGAGGGGGAGACUGGAAUGAAACUGAGGCUCUUAGGAAGAAGGAGGGGAAGUGGCCCUCCCUGCCUGAUACCCAGGCCUUCUAGGCAGAAAGAAGGAGCAUCCAUCUGGUUCAUUCAUACUCAAGUGGCAAGCACGGAAUCAUGUCCUGAGGAUACGGAGCAGUGCUUCUAACUGAGUGUGCAUCGAAAGCACCUGGAGGCUUGUUAGAGGACAGCUUGCUGCCCCACUCCCAGGGUUUCUGUCUCAUCACCUCUGGGGGAAAUCUGGGAACUUGGCUUUCUAACAAGUUCCCACAGAUACAAAUGCUGUUCUGGCUACUAAGCUUCGAGAAUGUCUGAUACAUGGAGAACAAGCUAACCAAAGCCCCUUCCUGUGUGGACGUUUCUGGUGGUAAAGAUGAGGUUAUGGGAUAUGAGGAAAGCAAAGCCAGGCGCACCUGGGCCGCUCAGUCGGUUAAGUGUCUGCCUUCGGCUCAGGUCAUGAUCUCAGGGUCCUGGGAUGGAGCCCCGCUUUGGGCUCCCUGCUCAGCAGGAAGUCUGCUUUGCCCUCUCCCUCUGUCACCCCCUGCCCCUAAUAAAUAAAUAAAAUCAUUUUUAAAAAAUGAAGAAAGAAAAAUCAGAGGACAGUUGAAGCAAUGCCUUUUUUUGUCAAAUACUGAUGAUUUCCUCUGUGUGAGGCAUUAAGCUAGAGCAGUAAGCAUGACAGACAAGAGACUGCUCUCAGGGGCUGAGAUCCUAGUGGGAGAGGAGAGAUCAUAGACACACUGAUUCCUCAACUCCCUCAUUUCAAAUAGGAGUUCUCACUGCUAUGAAAUUAUUGGAACUAAAACAGGUGCCCUGAUGCUGACUAGGUGAUGCUCCUGAUGAGGGAACCAACGACCCUCAUUUGGGGAUACAAAUUCCAGGCCAAGGGACUGAUGGUACAACAAAGCUCUAGGGCAGGGAGGAGUUUGUGCUCAAGGUUGGAAGUGCUGUGAGCUGGAAGCCUUGUAAGCAAAG